AUCAGGGAUCUUGCGCAAUGGACGAAAGUCUGACGCAGCGACGCCGCGUGGGUGAUGACGUCUUUCGGGAUGUAAAGCCCUUUUUCAGGGGACGAUAAUGACGGUACCCUGAGAAUAAGCCCCGGCUAACUACGUGCCAGCAGCCGCGGUAAUACGUAGGGGGCGAGCGUUGUCCGGAAUUACUGGGCGUAAAGGGCGCGUAGGCGGCGCUUUAAGUCCGCGGUGAAAGCCCGGGGCUCAACCCCGGAGGGUCCGCGGAGACUGGAGCACUGGAGGCUCGGAGAGGAGUGCGGAAUCCCUGGUGUAGCGGUGGAAUGCGUAGAGAUCAGGGGGAACACCGAUGGCGAAGGCAGCACUCUGGCCGAGAACUGACGCUGAGGCGCGAAAGCUGGGGGAGCGAACGG
rnacentral:rRNA from 1 species